CCUACGAGUGGCAGCAGUGAGGAAUAUUGGUCAAUGGACGAGAGUCUGAACCAGCCCAGUAGCGUGAAGGAUGACUGCCCUAUGGGUUGUAAACUUCUUUUAUAUGGGAAUAAAAUGUUCCACGUGUGGGAUUUUGUAUGUACCAUAUGAAUAAGGAUCGGCUAACUCCGUGCCAGCAGCCGCGGUAAUACGGAGGAGCCGAGCGUUAUCCGGAUUUAUUGGGUUUAAAUGGAGCGUGGGUGGAAUGGUAAGUCAGUUGUGAAAGGUUGCGGCUCAACCGUAAAAUUGCAGUUGAAACUGGCAGUCUGGAGUACAGUAGAGGUGGGCGGAAUUCGUGGUGUAGCGGUGAAAUGCGUAGAUAUCACGAAGAACUCCGAUUGCGAAGGCAGCCCACUGGACUGCAACUGACACUGAGGCUCGAAAGUGUGGGUAUCAAACAGGAUUAGAUACCCCGGUAGUC
rnacentral:rRNA from 1 species